rnacentral:rRNA from 1 species
UCGGGAAUUUUGGGCAAUGGGCGAAAGCCUGACGCAGCGACGCCGCGUGGGGGAUGAAGGUCUUCGGAUUGUAAACCCCUUUCGGGAGGGAAGAUGGAGUGGGGUAACCCAUUCGGACGGUACCUCCAGAAGCAGCCACGGCUAACUUCGUGCCAGCAGCCGCGGUAAUACAGAGGCCACGAACGUUGUUCGGAAUCACUGGGCAUAAAGCGCACGUAGGCGGCUAGGUCCGUCCGAUGUGAAAGCCCCCGGCUCAACCGGGGAAUUGCAUCGGAUACAGCCUGGCUUGAGGACGGUUGGGGUGAGUGGAACUCCUGGUGGAGCGGUGAAAUGCGUAGAUAUCAGGAGGAACACCGGUGGCGAAGGCGGCAUCCUGGACCGGUAUUGACGCUGAGUGAGCGAAAGCCAGGGGAGCAAACGGGAUUAGAUACCCUAGUAGUCCCUGAGCGGGCUGGCAAGGCGCAU